CCUCCACGCUCGACAACAUUUUAAUUGCAGUAUGGUUUAUUUUUGUUUAAUUAAACAUACCAUAUAUAUAUAUAUAUAUAUAUAUAUAUAUAUAUAUAUAUAUAUGCUCUAUUUGUAAUAUUAGAAGACAAUUGGACAUCUUUUGUUCAAUCUUUUCAUGUCAUGUGGCUUUUAUUGGACGAUUUUGCUAGUAAUAAAAAGUUGGAUAAAGAAACCCAAAUCACUUUCGAUUGGAUAUAGCAGGGUAGUUUUGCCCAAAUUAUAGAUUACAAGAAAUUAAAAUAAACAAAAAAUACUAAAAGAGAUCAGAAAUCCUGCAGAUUAAGAGUGAUUUCACUGUGGAUUUAAAAAGUGUUUUGCGUUGAAAAUUUUGUUGAUCUCGAGAUAUGUCUGGUGUAAUUUCUUCUCAGGUUUUGUAUGUGCGGUUGAGUUAUUGGCAACGUGGCUUCUUUGUUAUCAUAAUAUAUACAUAUUUUUUGUGUUUUUGUCUCAAACUAUGGUGAGGGCCGGACACCAACAUACAGUUUUCCUCUCAUAUGGAUCUUCCCUUUCCACCAAAUAUCACCAAACCCUUCACUGGCCAUUGCUAUGCAUCACCAAACACAUUGCCUCUCUGUGUUAGAAAAAGGGUGGGGCUUAUUCAUUCGAAGAUCGCUUGUCAGCCAAGGAAGAAAGGACCACAUGAUUGACAAGACAGCCAUGAGCAGUAGAUGAAGGCUACUUUUCAACUCGAAAGCCCUGGGGAAGUUUCUUGCAUUCUUGCUGAAAUAAUGGGAUAGGAUAUUAUUAUAACAGUGUGCUUGCAAAAGCUUGAAACUCAUCCCUUAAGAAGGAAAGAUUUAGACUAUACAUUUGAAGUUUAGUACCUAAUCCAACCAUUGUGCAGAAUAUUGUGUUUCAACGCCCUCAGUACUUCCAGCAACCUGCAAUGAUGCUUGAGUAAUUGCUAUCACAAUAACAUUUGUUCAUUUUCAUUCAUGUGCACCUUUAUACAUGAAUUUUCUAUAGUUUUUUCUUUCUUUUCUAAACAUCUAUGGUGCUCAAUUAUGGAGUAUUAAGCGAAAAUUGAAUUUUUCAGGGGCAAAAUUCUUAAAGCAUCAAAGGAUUGGGCAGAGAGAAAUAUCCAAGUCAUUGUUAUUACUGAUGGUGAGUGUAUCUUCGGGCUUGGGGGUCUUGGUUGCCAGGUAUUGAUGCUCAUAAAUUUAUUUACAAAUUGGAUGUGCAAACCACUUCUUAUCUCUUAAUGAUGCAAUCGUUUUACAUUCGUUAAGGAAUGGGGAUUCUGGUAGGAAAACUCUCUCCAUAGACAGCAUUAGGAGGAUUACUUGCCUUUGCAGUAAGGAUAAAUCUGCUAAAUUUACAACAAUUUCAUACUCAUUUUUCUUCUAUUAUUUAGACACACCUCAAUCACUGCUUUACUAGAGCUAUUAGUUGUCCCUUGCUAUUUAGUUACUAAAACCUUCCAACUGCAUUCAAUACAUACAGGGCACAAACAAUGAGAAGCUGUUGAAUGAUGAGUUCUAUAUUGGGCUUGGAGAGAGGAGGGUAACUAGACAGGUAGAGUAAUUUUACUUUCUUCCAUUUCCAAUCGACUGAUAUUUCUUCCUUUCUUUUCUAGAUUUUAAAUCAUUCCAAGUCUGAAGAUUUGUGUUUUGUUAUUUAUUGAUCUUUCUUUUGAAUAAUAUUGCUUUUGUAUUAAGUGAUGUGGACUGAAUUCUUUCUGGUCGAGCCAAUGGUUAAAGAAGUUGUGAUUGAUGUC